rnacentral:tRNA from 1 species
UGGGGUGUGGCCAAGUGGUUAAGGCACCGGUUUUUGGUAUCGGCACUCGGAGGUUCGAAUCCUCCCACCCCAGCCA